CACGGGGGGAGCAAGCGUUGUUCGGAAUCACUGGGCGUAAAGGGCGUGUAGGCGGUCAGGUAAGUGGAAUGUGAAAGCCCUCGGCUCACCCGAGGAUCUGCAUUCCAAACUGCCUGGCUUGAGUAUGGGAGAGGAUGAGGGAAUUCCUGGUGUAGCGGUGAAAUUCGUAGAUAUCGGGAGGAACACCGGUGGCGAAGGCGGCGACCUGGGUCGAUACUGACGCUGAUGCGCGAAAGCGUGGGGAGCAAACAGG
rnacentral:rRNA from 1 species